GACGAACGCUGGCGGCGUGCUUAACGCAUGCAAGUCGAACGGUGAAGCGCCUUCCUUUUUGGCGGGUGGGGAGGAGGGGCGAACGGGGGGGUAACACGUGAGUAACCUGCCCCCUUCUGCGGGAUAACGGCAGGAAAGUGUGGCUAAUACGGGAUAUUCUGGACCGGUCGCAGGAUGGGUCUGGGAAAGAUUUUGUGUCGGUGUGGGAUGGGCUCGCGGCCUAUCAGCUUGGUGGUGGGGUGAUGGCCUACCAAGGCGGUGACGGGGUGCCGGCCUGGGAGGAUCGGCGGUCCCGCUGGGGAGGCGCCGCCGACCCGCCUACUGCAGGCGGCAGCGGUGAAGAUUAUUGAACGGUGGGCGGCAGGCUGCAGCCGCGCCGCGGCGUGAGAGAUGGAGGCCUUCGGGUUGUGAACCUCUUUCGGCAGUGAAGCAGGCCUGCCUCGUUUGUCGGUGGGUUGACGGUAGCUGGAUAAGAAGCGCCGGCUAACUACGUG
rnacentral:rRNA from 1 species